CCUACGGGAGGCAGCAGUGGAGAAUCUUGCGCAAUGGGCGAAAGCCUGACGCAGCAACGCCGCGUGCGGGAAGAAGGCUUUCGGGCUGUAAACCGCUUUCAGCAGGAACGAAAAUGACGGUACCUGCAGAAGAAGGAGCGGCCAACUAUGUGCCAGCAGCCGCGGUGAUACAUAGGCUUCAAGCGUUGUCCGGAUUUAUUGGGCGUAAAGAGUUCGUAGGCGGUCGAGUAAGUCGGGUGUGAAAAUUCUGGGCUCAACCCAGAGACGCCACCCGAUACUGCUUGACUUGAGUUCGAUAGGGGAGUGGGGAAUUCCUAGUGUAGCGGUGAAAUGCGCAGAUAUUAGGAGGAACACCGGUGGCGAAGGCGCCACUCUGGAUCGAUACUGACGCUGAGGAACGAAAGCAUGGGUAGCAAACAGGAUUAGAUACCCUGGUAGUCCAUGCCGUAAACGGUGGGCACUAGGUGUGGGUUUCUAUUAACGAAAUCCGCGCCGUCGCUAACGCAUUAAGUGCCCCGCCUGGGGAGUACGGUCGCAAGCUAAAACUCAAAUGAAUUGACGG
rnacentral:rRNA from 1 species